GACGAACGCUGGCGGCGUGCUUAACACAUGCAAGUCGAACGGAAAGGCCCUGCUUUUGUGGGGUGCUCGAGUGGCGAACGGGUGUGUAACACGUGAGUAACCUGCCCUUGACUUUGGGAUAACUUCAGGAAACUGGGUCUAAUACCGGAUAGGAGCUCCUGCUUCAUGGUGGGGGUUGGAAAGUUUCGGCGGUUGGGGAUGGACUCGCGGCUUAUCAGCUUGUUGGUGGGGUAGUGGCUUACCAAGGCUUUGAAGGGUAGCCGGCCUGAGAGGGUGACCGGCCAAAUUGGGACUGAGAUACGGCCCAGACUCCUACGGGAGGCAGCAGUGGGGAAUAUUGCACAAUGGGCGGAAGCCUGAUGCAGCAACGCCGCGUGGGGGAUGACGGCCUUCGGGUUGUAAACCGCUUUCGCCUGUGACGAAGCGUGAGUGACGGUAAUGGGUAAAGAAGCACCGGCUAACUACGUG
rnacentral:rRNA from 1 species